rnacentral:rRNA from 1 species
ACUAAGCGUACACGGUGGAUGCCCUGGCAGUCAGAGGCGAUGAAGGACGUGCUAAUCUGCGAUAAGCGUCGGUAAGGUGAUAUGAACCGUUAUAACCGGCGAUUUCCGAAUGGGGAAACCCAGUGUGAUUCGUCACACUAUCAUUAACUGAAUCCAUAGGUUAAUGAGGCGAACCGGGGGAACUGAAACAUCUAAGUACCCCGAGGAAAAGAAAUCAACCGAGAUUCCCCCAGUAGCGGCGAGCGAACGGGGAGCAGCCCAGAGCCUGAAUCAGUGUGUGUGUUAGUGGAAGCGUCUGGAAAGGCGCGCGAUACAGGGUGACAGCCCCGUACACAAAAAUGCACAUGCUGUGAGCUCGAUGAGUAGGGCGGGACACGUGGUAUCCUGUCUGAAUAUGGGGGGACCAUCCUCCAAGGCUAAAUACUCCUGACUGACCGAUAGUGAACCAGUACCGUGAGGGAAAGGCGAAAAGAACCCCGGCGAGGGGAGUGAAAAAGAACCUGAAACCGUGUACGUACAAGCAGUGGGAGCACGCUUAGGCGUGUGACUGCGUACCUUUUGUAUAAUGGGUCAGCGACUUAUAUUCUGUAGCAAGGUUAACCGAAUAGGGGAGCCGAAGGGAAACCGAGUCUUAACUGGGCGUUAAGUUGCAGGGUAUAGACCCGAAACCCGGUGAUCUAGCCAUGGGCAGGUUGAAGGUUGGGUAACACUAACUGGAGGACCGAACCGACUAAUGUUGAAAAAUUAGCGGAUGACUUGUGGCUGGGGGUGAAAGGCCAAUCAAACCGGGAGAUAGCUGGUUCUCCCCGAAAGCUAUUUAGGUAGCGCCUCGUGAAUUCAUCUCCGGGGGUAGAGCACUGUUUCGGCAAGGGGGUCAUCCCGACUUACCAACCCGAUGCAAACUGCGAAUACCGGAGAAUGUUAUCACGGGAGACACACGGCGGGUGCUAACGUCCGUCGUGAAGAGGGAAACAACCCAGACCGCCAGCUAAGGUCCCAAAGUCAUGGUUAAGUGGGAAACGAUGUGGGAAGGCCCAGACAGCCAGGAUGUUGGCUUAGAAGCAGCCAUCAUUUAAAGAAAGCGUAAUAGCUCACUGGUCGAGUCGGCCUGCGCGGAAGAUGUAACGGGGCUAAACCAUGCACCGAAGCUGCGGCAGCGACGCUGAUGCGUUGUUGGGUAGGGGAGCGUUCUGUAAGCCUGUGAAGGUGUGCUGUGAGGCAUGCUGGAGGUAUCAGAAGUGCGAAUGCUGACAUAAGUAACGAUAAAGCGGGUGAAAAGCCCGCUCGCCGGAAGACCAAGGGUUCCUGUCCAACGUUAAUCGGGGCAGGGUGAGUCGACCCCUAAGGCGAGGCCGAAAGGCGUAGUCGAUGGGAAACAGGUUAAUAUUCCUGUACUUGGUGUUACUGCGAAGGGGGGACGGAGAAGGCUAUGUUGGCCGGGCGACGGUUGUCCCGGUUUAAGCGUGUAGGCUGGUUUUCCAGGCAAAUCCGGAAAAUCAAGGCUGAGGCGUGAUGACGAGGCACUACGGUGCUGAAGCAACAAAUGCCCUGCUUCCAGGAAAAGCCUCUAAGCAUCAGGUAACAUCAAAUCGUACCCCAAACCGACACAGGUGGUCAGGUAGAGAAUACCAAGGCGCUUGAGAGAACUCGGGUGAAGGAACUAGGCAAAAUGGUGCCGUAACUUCGGGAGAAGGCACGCUGAUAUGUAGGUGAAGCGACUUGCUCGUGGAGCUGAAAUCAGUCGAAGAUACCAGCUGGCUGCAACUGUUUAUUAAAAACACAGCACUGUGCAAACACGAAAGUGGACGUAUACGGUGUGACGCCUGCCCGGUGCCGGAAGGUUAAUUGAUGGGGUCAGCGCAAGCGAAGCUCUUGAUCGAAGCCCCGGUAAACGGCGGCCGUAACUAUAACGGUCCUAAGGUAGCGAAAUUCCUUGUCGGGUAAGUUCCGACCUGCACGAAUGGCGUAAUGAUGGCCAGGCUGUCUCCACCCGAGACUCAGUGAAAUUGAACUCGCUGUGAAGAUGCAGUGUACCCGCGGCAAGACGGAAAGACCCCGUGAACCUUUACUAUAGCUUGACACUGAACAUUGAGCCUUGAUGUGUAGGAUAGGUGGGAGGCUUUGAAGUGUGGACGCCAGUCUGCAUGGAGCCGACCUUGAAAUACCACCCUUUAAUGUUUGAUGUUCUAACGUGGACCCGUAAUCCGGGUUGCGGACAGUGUCUGGUGGGUAGUUUGACUGGGGCGGUCUCCUCCUAAAGAGUAACGGAGGAGCACGAAGGUUGGCUAAUCCUGGUCGGACAUCAGGAGGUUAGUGCAAUGGCAUAAGCCAGCUUGACUGCGAGCGUGACGGCGCGAGCAGGUGCGAAAGCAGGUCAUAGUGAUCCGGUGGUUCUGAAUGGAAGGGCCAUCGCUCAACGGAUAAAAGGUACUCCGGGGAUAACAGGCUGAUACCGCCCAAGAGUUCAUAUCGACGGCGGUGUUUGGCACCUCGAUGUCGGCUCAUCACAUCCUGGGGCUGAAGUAGGUCCCAAGGGUAUGGCUGUUCGCCAUUUAAAGUGGUACGCGAGCUGGGUUUAGAACGUCGUGAGACAGUUCGGUCCCUAUCUGCCGUGGGCGCUGGAGAAUUGAGGGGGGCUGCUCCUAGUACGAGAGGACCGGAGUGGACGCAUCACUGGUGUUCGGGUUGUCAUGCCAAUGGCACUGCCCGGUAGCUAAAUGCGGAAGAGAUAAGUGCUGAAAGCAUCUAAGCACGAAACUUGCCCCGAGAUGAGUUCUCCCUGACUCCUUGAGAGUCCUGAAGGAACGUUGAAGACGACGACGUUGAUAGGCCGGGUGUGUAAGCGCAGCGAUGCGUUGAGCUAACCGGUACUAAUGAACCGUGAGGCUUAACC